rnacentral:rRNA from 1 species
AUGGACACAACUACCACUGCCCAAGAAGCAUCCAACGGUGGCGGUGACGGCCGGCGGCCGCAUGCGCGCGCACGCCGGAUAUUGAUGUUCCCGCUGCUAUUCCAGGGCCAAAUCAACCUGAUGCUGUAGCUCGCCGACGUGCUCCAUGGCCGCGGCCUGGCCGUCACCAUCCUCCACUACACCGGGUUCGACAACACGCUGGACCCCGCGCUCCGCCUGGAGUUUGGUUUCGUCGCCGUACCCGACGGCAGCCCCGCUGAUGUCGUGGCCUCAGGGAACGUAGUGUCUAUGAUCAUCGCCAUUAACACAGCCAUGGAGGCGUCUGUGGCCUUCCGCGACGUCCUUGCGGUGGAAUCGGUGCUUGCUGGCGAGGGGAAGCCCCGCGCCGCGUGCCUGUUCAUCAACUCCAACCUCUUCGGCGUGCAGAAGGCGGUCAAGGAGCUCGGGCUGCCGACGAUAGCGCUUCGGACCGGCAGUGCAGCCUACUUCAACUGCUUCCUUGCCUAUCCCAUGCUCCACCUAAACGGCUAUCUGCCCGCCGAAGAAUGGCAACUCGACACGCUGGUGAAGGAGCUUCCUCCGCUGGGCAUGAGGGGCCUCUUCCUCUCGAGUAGCGAUGACCAUGGGAUGCUAUCCAAAUUUCUAGCUAGAGCAACCCAUGCAGCAAGGUGCUACUCCGCCCUCGUACUCAACAUAUUCGAGGCACUAGAAACUUAUGAGCUUCAGAAAAUCCGCGACGAGAUAGGCACCGCCAUGGUACUCGUGACCGGCCCUCUCCGCGGGCUCUCCUCUAAGAGGAGGAGCGGCAGUGUGCUUAUGCACGAGGAUCGCACCUGCAUCAAGUGGCUGGACACGCAGGCCACAGGGUCCGUGUUGUACAUGAGCGCUGGGAGCCUGGCGUGCAUGGACUCUGGCGAGCUCUCGGAGGUGGUGUGGGGGUUGGCCAACAACGGCCAACCGUUCCUAUGGGUCAUUUGGCAGGACCUUGUCACAGGAUCAGUCGGACCAUGUCUACCCAAAGGGUUCAAUGAUGCAGUGGAGGGCAGGGGCAAGGUGACCAGUGCCCCGCAGCAGGAUGUGUUGGCCCACCAUGCGGUGGGUGGGUUUUGGACCCACAACGGGUGGAACUCAACGCUCGAGAGUGUAUCCGAGGGUUGCCCGAUGAUCUACAGGCCUCAGUUCGCGGACCAGAUGAUGAACGCGGGUUACGUGGAUGUGGUGUGGGGCAUAGGAUUUGAGCUCAAAGGUGAGCUGGAGAGGAACAAAAUUGCGGAGACCAUUCUGAAGCUUAUGAAGGGGGUGAGGGGAAGCGAUGAGGGAGAGAGAGAGAGAGAGCUUAAGAAGAAAGUAGCAUCAUGCUUGGGGAGCGGUGGGUCUUCUCUGUUAGCCAUUGAUAAAUUGAUCGACCAUAUAUCAUCUUUGUAG